rnacentral:rRNA from 1 species
GACGAACGCUGGCGGCGUGCCUAAUACAUGCAAGUUGAGCGCUGAAGGUUGGUACUUGUACCAACUGGAUGAGCAGCGAACGGGUGAGUAACGCGUGGGGAAUCUGCCUUUGAGCGGGGGACAACAUUUGGAAACGAGUGCUAAUACCGCAUAAAAACUUUAAACACAAGUUUUAAGUUUGAAAGAUGCAAUUGCAUCACUCAAAGAUGAUCCCGCGUUGUAUUAGCUAGUUGGUGAGGUAGAGGCUCACCAAGGCGAUGAUACAUAGCCGACCUGAGAGGGUGAUCGGCCACAUUGGGACUGCGACACGGCCCAAACUCCUACGGGAGGCAGCAGUAGGGAAUCUUCGGCAAUGGACGAAAGUCUGACCGAGCAACGCCGCGUGAGUGAAGAAGGUUUUCGGAUCGUAAAACUCUGUUGGUAGAGAAGAACGUUGGUGAGAGUGGAAAGCUCAUCAAGUGACGGUAACUACCCAGAAAGGGACGGCUAACUACGUG